rnacentral:rRNA from 1 species
AAUAUUGGUCAAUGGGCGCAAGCCUGAACCAGCCACGUCGCGUGAAGGAAGACGGCCCUACGGGUUGUAAACUUCUUUUGUAAGGGAAUAAAGUGUAGUACGUGUACUAUUUUGCAUGUACCUUACGAAUAAGGUUCGGCUAACUCAGUUCCAGCAGCCGCGGUAAUACGGAGGAUCCGAGCGUUAUCCGGAUUUAUUGGGUUUAAAGGGUGCGUAGGCGGCUUUCUAAGUCAGGGGUGAAAUACAGCGGCUCAACCGUUGCAGUGCCUUUGAUACUGGGGGGCUUGAAUGUGGUCGAAGGCGGCGGAAUGGGACAAGUAGCGGUGAAAUGCAUAGAUAUGUCCCAGAACCCCGAUAGCGAAGGCAGCUGCCUAGGCCAUAAUUGACGCUGAUGCACGAAAGCGUGGGGAUCGAACAGG